CACAGGGAGGCAGGCAGGGAACAGAAAACCAAGGAAAAAGCAGAAUAACUGAUAAAUAGGAGAAAAACCAGGACACUCACCGUCAGCCGGGCUGCCACCACAACACCAGUAACGUUAACGUUACAACGAAGAUAAAGUUAACAGUGAGAGUAAAACCUACGAGGUCAACCUGGCGGCCCUGAAGGAGGCCAAGCGUGCAGAGCUGGAAGCUGACUGGAAACCAUCAUCCGAAGCUGAUGUACUGCGCUGUAUCAGCCAUGGUGAGCUAGCCCUGCAUUGCAGGAGAACCACCCGUGGGACCGAGGAGACCCAGGCUCUGAUUGAGAGCCAUAUCCAGGUCUUUGAUGGAGAUGCUGGUCGUGACACUCUGGGAGUGCCACUUAUAAACUCAACCCGGAUGAGUGAGAUCUUGAAGUCCCAGUGGAAGCAUGUGGCCUGCAUCCAGGAUCCUCCAGGUGUGCAGCUCUACAUGCAGAGGGGAACUGUGGUGAAUUGAGGGCACCGUCUGCCAACAUACCACUAUUCCAAGGGUUCCACUUCGCUAGAGUCAUUUCCACCUGAAUUGAUUCAUCCCAGAUACACUGGCAAGUGACACCUUCUUCCAGGCGUAUCUUAUGGUUGGACUUGCAAGGUGGAAUGAGGACCGGGCUGUGGCAGCAACAACUGACGAGCAGCAGCCGAAUUCGUACAAUCAUCUUCUCCGUCAUGCUGUCAACACUCUUGGAGAGGAGGUUAUGGGCAAGAAAAUCAUCCCUUACAUCGGGCCAAGAAAAUACACUGGCGAGCUUAUCAGAGUUGAAUACCUUUAACCGGCAAACUUCUACAGAACUACAAGUUGGCCAUUGAGGAUGCCGAGACCACAUAUGUUGGUUUAGAGGUGGAUGAAGGUUGCGCUGAACUUGAGGAGUUUUAGGACAUCGUUGUUCCCACCUUCGACACAGAACGAACACCUGCUGCCUCCUCUCAAGCAUCGGGGUCUGCGGGGUCUGUGGUCCCCCCCAUCACCUGUAACAUCUGCUAUAACCAGCUCCAUGUCAUCGCUGUCUGUGGUCCCUCCAUCACCAGUAACAUCUGCUAUAACCAGCUCCAUGUCAUCGCUGUCUGUGGUCCCUCCAUCACCAGUAACAUCUGCUAUAACCAGCUCCCCAGUAGACCAGUUGUCAGCGGAAAUGGAUCUUCUGAAGAGAACAUCUGAAGAGACAACUUCACAUGAUGAUUCAGUUGGACCCGACAAUAGGACUUGGCAGAGUUUUUGGUUGGCCUCAGAGAUCACCGCCUUGCCUUGACUGGAGAAGAAUGUGUCAAGAUCAUAACCCUGUGGUAGGCAUUGGGGGAGUACUACAAGAAGAAGACCAUUUACCCACCACGUCACCAGACCACCAUUAAACGGGGACGAUUCAGGACCACCAAGAAGAUUUUGGCACCAGGUGUGGAGAGCACCAAAAGGUUUUUCAUUGGGGCUCAUAGUCCUACACAGUGGCCUGACUGCAACAGAGUGGUAGAGGCCGUCUUGACAAGGCUCUGUGUUCUCUAUCCAAACGCAGUGUGCUGUGACGGAGUGAGGGUGUCCCACUUUACAAUGGUAGCACGUACUUACAAGCACAUCCGAGAGUGCAUCCUCACCAAUGCUAAGGUGAUGAGUGAAACCACCAUCCAGCUCCCAGAGGUGAAUGCUGCAACAGUCACACAGUGGUUCAGCAGGCGUUGCAAGUCACAAGAACAAGAUAUUCUGAAGCAGGGUAUCCAAGCACCAGACGCACCCAUGGCAGGACCUGAGAACCUUCCUGCAGCAAUGCAGAAAGGGCCAACACUGCCAAGGAGGUGAAGCUCAAGGGGAGAUCGCAACCUCAGGUCAUCUCUCAGGCUCCACCAUUACAUCAAGCACUUCCUGUCAUUGCACCAGCACCACCCGUCUCUUUCCCUUUCAUUCUACCAUCUGUGCAGCUUCCUACAGUGCCUGGACCCUCACAGGUGAUGUUCUUCAACCUCCCAUUACCUUCACCCACGCCACCAUCAAGUCAGACACAGACAUCCAGUCAAUCUGUUCCUUAUAGCACUCAACAAUACAGAAAGGGGAGAGGGAACUGUCAAAAGGAAAUAUGUAAAAAUGACAGAUGUCAUUCUUUGCAGAAAGUGCAACAAAGAGAGAAAGCCGCCAUCACAUCUUCAGUACUUUGGGAACUGGUAUUGUGAAGAGUCUGAGAGCCAGUCAUAUGGUGAAUGGAGGGCUGUUCUGGAGGAACGAGGCUAUAGGGGGGAAAAAAAGCCAGGAAAUGACAACCCACCAUCUUCUUAAACUUGUUGUUUGUAUCUUUAAGUAUUUUCUUUCAUUUAUUUGUUUAAUGGCACCACAGAGUAAGUAUUAGCUAUCACAUGUAAUUCCAACCAAAUACCGUGACUCUCCAGAGAAAACUUCUUAUUCAAAAGCUGACUUGUAGGUUAGAACAAAAGCAUCCACUGCAGUUUUUGUCAUUAACUCCUUCCUUAAGUGGUAAAAUCUGUAAAUUUCAGAAGUUCUUCUGCGUUCUUCUUCAUUGUUUUAAAAAUUUACAUUAGAGUUUCCAGGAAUGAUGUGUCUCUGAAAUGAAUAAUGUUUUUGGAAGUAUGCUGGUGUGUGUGAUGCAUCUUGUUUUUUCUGAGAAUGUUUUUUUUCGUCUUCACUGCUUGUAUCCUCUGCUCUCUGUUCGGGAAAAUGUUUCAGGUAUAUGUUGUAAUGUAAUUCAGCAGGGUCAACAGAUUUUUGUAUUCAUGAUGGGUGUGAAAUGGUGUAAAUCCGUACCUUGUUAUUUAUGUGAGAGUACUCUUAAGAUGAAAGUUCGAUAGUACUCAUGUUCCCUGUUUUGGGCAAAUGUCAGCUCAGGGAUUGAUGUUCUCACUUCAGGUGCCGGCAUAUCUCACGUCUAUAUAUUUGUGGAGGUCUGCAUUAUUGUGGUGUUCAUUUUAUCUAUCAAACAUUGUAUUUGAUUACAUUUUAUUGCACUUUUUAGAACAGAAUUGAAAGACAGGCAUAUUGCAAAUGGUAAUUUAAUGGUUUUUGGAGUUAAGUGUACGAAUGGCCAUGAGAAAGAAACUAUACAGACACUUGUGGUCCAUGCUUUGAUGGUCUAUUAGCUGUCAGAGGGCAACAGGGUAAACAGGUGGUGUCCUGAAUAAGAAGAGUUUAUUUUGGUUAAUUUGUUCCUUAAAUUAUUUGUGUACAUAAUUUUUUUAAUUAUUGUUACUUACUUGUUGUUACAAUUUUAUUAUUACUGUUAAUUAUUAAUAAUACUAAUAAUUAUUAUUGUUUAUAAUUAUAUUGUUGAAUCUGUUGUAAUUAACAAUAUAAAAAUGGUUUGAGUGUUUGUGUUUUCUUUUUUUCUCUUAU